rnacentral:rRNA from 1 species
GACGAACCGUGCGAACGUUGUUCGGAAUCACUGGGCUUAAAGGGCGCGUAGGCGGCAUAGCAAGUCCGGGGUGAAAGCCCCCGGCUCAACCGGGGAAGUGCCUUGGGAACUGCUGUGCUCGAGGGAGGUAGGGGUCGAGGGAACUUCUGGUGGAGCGGUGAAAUGCGUUGAUAUCAGAAGGAACGCCGGUGGCGAAAGCGCUCGACUGGACCUUUUCUGACGCUGAGGCGCGAAAGCUAGGGGAGCAAACGGG